GAUGAACGCUGGCGGCGUGCCUAAUACAUGCAAGUCGAGCGAACAGACGAGGAGCUUGCUCCUCUGACGUUAGCGGCGGACGGGUGAGUAACACGUGGAUAACCUACCUAUAAGACUGGGAUAACUUCGGGAAACCGGAGCUAAUACCGGAUAAUAUAUUGAACCGCAUGGUUCAAUAGUGAAAGACGGUUUUGCUGUCACUUAUAGAUGGAUCCACGCCGCAUUAGCUAGUUGGUAAGGUAACGGCUUACCAAGGCAACGAUGCGUAGCCGACCUGAGAGGGUGAUCGGCCACACUGGAACUGAGACACGGUCCAGACUCCUACGGGAGGCAGCAGUAGGGAAUCUUCCGCAAUGGGCGAAAGCCUGACGGAGCAACGCCGCGUGAGUGAUGAAGAUCUUCGGAUCGUAAAACUCUGUUAUUAGGGAAGAACAAAUGUGUAAGUAACUAUGCACGUCUUGACGGUACCUAAUCAGAAAGCCACGGCUAACUACGUG
rnacentral:rRNA from 1 species